rnacentral:rRNA from 1 species
UACGUAGGGGACGAGCGUUGUCCGGAUUCAUUGGGCGUAAAGCGCGCGUAGGCGGUUACGCAAGUCGGUUGUGAAAUCCCCGAGCUUAACUUGGGAAUUGCGCUCGAAACUACGGUGCUGGAGUGUGGCAGAGGGAGGUGGAAUUCCACGUGUAGCGGUGAAAUGCGUAGAGAUGUGGAGGAACACCGAUGGCGAAGGCAGCCUCCUGGGCCAACACUGACGCUCAUGCACGAAAGCGUGGGGAGCAAACAGG